CAGCUCUAGGCGGUGAUCACUCGGCUCGUGCGUCGAUGAAGAGCGCAGCCAGCUGCGUGAA
rnacentral:rRNA from 1 species